ensembl:lincRNA
AUGUCUUGUUUUGGAAGAAUACAUUUGCAUGAAUGUCUUGGGUUUAAGAAAAAAAUACAAGCCCAGGGAGGUGGGCGUCCAGAGGCGCCAGGUGUGGAACCCCGGCCCUCACCCUGCGCAAGGAGGAAGGGCAGGUGUGCCCGGGGCACUGGGGCGGGCAGCCAGGCCACCCAGGCCCAUUUCGGUUCUGUGUUUGUUUUCCUAGCGGUUCUCUGUGGCGCCCAGGCCCGCGGCACCCUGGGAACCUGUCAGAUGCGCGGGUGUCCAGGCCUUCCAGGGGGCAGCUCUGGGGGGGCCCGGGAGCUCCUGCCCCAGCCCAGCCGCAGCCUGCAGAGCCGGGCUGCCCCCGCCCCCGGCCCCAUCUGGAGGCAAAGGUGCUUUCAAAGCAUUCGGAUCUCUGAAGUGCACCUCCCCAGGCGCACAGUGCCGACAGCCUUGGGGCACGCGGGCACACAGAGAUGCCACGCGGGCUCCUGCGGGCACGCAUGCGUGGACUUCUCCUCCGGUGCCUUUCCCUUUGCCCUGCCGGCGGGAACGCCGCACGCGCACGGUCGCGCCCACUGCUGUUUGCCCACGCAGGGUCGGAGCGCAACCGCCGCUGGGUGGGGUCAGGGAUGCCUUCCCCUAGAGCUGCUUCCAGGCCGCCGGCACGCGCGGACGCCACGCCCUGCCCCGCCCUGCCCCUCUCCCUGCCCCGCCCUGCCAUACCCCUGCCUCUCCCUGCCCUGCCCUGCCCCGCCCUGCCCCUCUCCCUGCCCUGCCCCGGUCCCCGGCUGGUGGGCAGCGGGAAGCGGCCUCCCCUUGCACGCCUCGGUCCCCGCCGCUGCUCCUGCUCCCCAGCGGCGGCAAAGCUGCGAGUGUGCCUGGCACCAGCGUGCCUGCCGAGAGCUUGCUCAGCCCCAGCCGGCUUCGCAGGGUCCCGGCGGCCCGGGCGGCCCUCGGCCCUCACCGCGCUCCCGGACGCGCCCCCUCAUGGCCGCGCUGGGCACUGCACGUCCCCGCGCCCGGCCCACCUCACUCUGCUCCGGCUCUGUCCCGCCUGCUUCUCCCGUGGGGGGCCGCCUUCCAGAACAGGCCUUUCCCACUUGCUGGAAGAACGAAGAACCAACCACACAGGAGGAAGAAGCGGAGGCUGGUUGUGUGAUGGGUGCCAGCAGGACGCCUCUGCCCAGGUGCCUUUAGAUGGGAGGUAAAUGCCUAUGUAAGGAGAUGAAGCAGACUGGUUGCUGAUCGGAGCACAGACACCGUGUGAAUAGCAUGCCCACUUGGUAAGGAACCUGGCUGUAUCUGAUAUGAAACUUCAUAAUUCAACAUCAUCUGUAGUAAUGGACGUACCUAAUGUACUUCUGUGAAAAGAAACGUUUUCUACAUUUUGGUGCCUGUAAUUUUUCAUCGCUUCUGCGUGGCCCGUCAUUGCUAACUGCCGUCAUUUUUGUUGCCGCUGCUGUCUCUCAAGCCUUCAAAGUUAAUUCUAGAUUUAGCGGAAGCUCUGUGAAGCCCAGCCUGCUGGAGGUUGUGACUUGGGUGAAGAAUUCAUGGGGUAAAAUCGCUGACACCUGUGCUGUAGAUGUUUUAUGAGCAGGCUACAUGGGCAAGGCAUGGCCGUUUAAGGAGCGCGCUAUUGCUGGGCGCAAGAGACGGGGGCCAAUGGUUCUACGGGAAAUGGAACGGCAGGAAAUCCAGGCUGGGAUUUGGAGAGCUUUGAUGAGGUUCAGAAGAAAAUGACUGACUGUUAUUGGGAUAAAGAUAGAUUUUUGUACCUGAAUAACUGUAGGUUUUUGUCCAUGAAUAAAUAAAUAAAUAAAUGUAGGUUGUCACACGUGAAAAAAUAUGCCAUAUCCUGAAAAUAAGCCCCGCUGCAUCUUUUGGAGCAAAAAUUAAUAUAAGACCUGGUCUUAUUUUGGGGGAAAUACGGUAUUUGUGACUGAGUGAGAUAGGAAUCAGAGUUCAUGUUGAAACUUCUCUGAAUCCAAAUCAGUGAUAACAACUUUAUACCUUUUUUCUAACAUGAAUCAAUUGCAGAAGAUUUUAACUGUAAUCGGCACUAUUAGGGAAUUGGCCACAAAAGCAACAAAAAUGUGAAGGAUAAUUUGUGAUAUUGAUAAAUUUAGAGUUGCUUUCAGUGACAUCUGUCAAUUCAUGCCAAGAAAACUGGACUGACCUACGCAUUGGUGAAUUUACCUAAUUUGGGCAAAAGUUGCUUUGAGAGACACGCUUUUGUUACAAAGUCAAAUUGAUUUUUCUAAAAAAUGAGCUAUUUUAUCCAAUGUGAAUGCAAAUACUAAUAGAAAAUUAUUUUGGGGAAAAUUUCAGAGUAUGUUUGGAAUACCUUGGAUAUGUGAAUCUAUGUUUUUUAAUGGUAAAUUUUAUGAAAUGUCAAUGGAGAUCUAAUAUUUCUGAUAUGAAUUUGGUAUUCAAAUGGAGAUAUAUUGUCAGUAUAAAAUACAUACCAGAUUUCAAAGAUGUAGUAUAAAAAUGUGAAAUAUUUCUUAUGUUGACUACAUGUUGAAAUAAUACUUUUGAUUUAUUGAGCUAGACAAAAUAUAUUAUUAAAAGUAAUUUCUCUUAUUUAUUUUUACCUUUUUGAUGUGGACAUUAGAUAAUUUAAUGUACAUGGCUGCUGUUAUCUAUUUUUUUGUACUCCUAAUAUAGUUGCACACGAAGCUUCUCCAGGAAAACAAGAAUCAUCUUUAUCCUUAUAUAUUUUUUCUCCACAAUGGAUCCUUGUUGUUAGGACUAUGCUUAACAAACAGAAGAUGCUCAAUAAAUAUUUGUUCAGUGAAUGAAGAAGUUUGGGGUAGUUGCUUAUUUUUUAUAUUUUUGCUA